rnacentral:misc_RNA from 1 species
AAGGAUCAUUAUUGAUUUGAUUUGUUACCUUCUGUGCUGGCCCCGGCAUGUGCACGUUGGUGACUUUCAUCCAAUACCCUUUUGUGAACCUUUGGCCUCAUGCUGGCUUUGGCUGGCAGAGGAUUUACACAAACUCGAAUGUAACAGAAAAACUUGUUGUGCGCAAGCACUAAUGUACAACUUUCAACAACGGAUCUCUUGGCUCUCGCAUCGAUGAAGAACGCAGCGGACGGGCAUCGAUGUGGAAGUAAAAGUCGUAACAAG